UUUAUGCUUAUGCUUGUAAUUUUUUUUUUUUUUUUUUUUUUCAAGAUGAGCAAAUUAAACAUCUUCCCCACCAUAGUUUAUUUACUUCUUAAUAAUUAAAUUUUGAAAAUCAUAAAAGAUAUAAAUAUGUUACAAAAAAAAUAAAAAAAGUUACAAAGGAAUAAUUUUAAAUCUUAAUUACAGUAUUAUAUGAGUUAUUUUUUUUUUACGUAAUGUAUCAAAACACAUGUAGAAGUGUUAAGCAGAUAUUUGAAGAUGCAACUUUUAAUAAACGUGAUAGGACUGUACUAAAAUUUGACAACAAUAAGUUAAACUUAUUUUUUGAAAAUGGUAUCCUCAAUUAUAGCUUAAUUGAACUGAUCGGAAAUAAGGGAAGUGGAAAGACACAAUUUGCUUUAACUAUAUGCGCAGAACAACUUAUAAAAAUAUAUAAAGAAAAAAAACAAGAUGUUAUUUUUUAUGUUUAUAUGAAAGGAUCAUUUCCUAUUAAAAAUAUAACUACUAUAAUACAACACAAACUAAAUCAUUACAAUAAUAACAACGGUAGUAGCAAUAAUAGUAGCAGUAACAGUAGCAAUAACGGUAAUAGUAGCAAUAACGGUAAUAGUAGCAAUAACAGUAACAGUAGCAAUAAUAGUAACAAUCAUAUAAACGAACAAAAUAACCUUUCUGGAUGCAUUUUAAAAAAUUUCGUUAACAACGGAAGUAAUAAUAACAAUUUGAGUGAUAAUGUUUGGAAAAAUAGUACAGAAAAAGACUUAAAUAACACCGAAACUACCACCACUUUCCCAAAUAAAUAUGAAAAUCAAACAUAUGACUAUAAUAACACAAACAUUAACAAUAGGAGCCACAAUCCUAAUGCGUUUUAUUUAAAUCCUAAUAGUGAAGAAGUGUUAAAAAAUAUAUUAUCCAAAUUAUAUAUUCAAAAAAUUAAUGAUGAAAAAGAAUUUUUUUUAUUAUUUGAAAAACAUAUAUAUUAUAUUUUAAAAUAUCAUAAAAUAUUUUUAUUAAUAAUUGAUUCAUUUAAUUUGAUUUUUAAUGGUAUCCCAAAUUUAAGUUCAUAUAAAAAACAUCAAUUUUAUAUAAAAAUAUCAAUAAUUUUAAAAAAAAUAUCAUACGAAAACAAUAUGUUUGUAUUAUUAAUUAACAACUCGCAAAUAAAAAAAAAUUAUGUAAAUUUUUCUUUUGAUAUCUCUGAUUAUAUUAUUAACUCCUCAUCUUCAAACACAAUUAUUAUGUUUAAAAAAAAAAAAAAAAAUGACAAAACCUAUCGAAAAAUGAUCGUUAAGUCAUCAGAAUUUAUACACAAAUAUAAGACGCUUAAUUUUGAAAUAACAGAUUACGGUUUUCAUGUUAUAUAGAGUUUGUUAAUUAAAUUCGUAAAUAAUAAAAAAUUAAUAUUUAUGUAUGAACA
rnacentral:lncRNA from 1 species